rnacentral:rRNA from 1 species
AAUGAACGCUGGCGGCAUGCCUUACACAUGCAAGUCGAACGGCAGCAUGACCUAGCUUGCUAGGUUGAUGGCGAGUGGCGAACGGGUGAGUAAUGCAUCGGAACGUGCCUUUUAGUGGGGGAUAACGUAUCGAAAGUUACGCUAAUACCGCAUAUUCUCUGAGGAGGAAAGCAGGGGACCUUCGGGCCUUGCGCUAGAAGAGCGGCCGAUGUCGGAUUAGCUAGUUGGUGAGGUAAAGGCUCACCAAGGCAACGAUCCGUAGCGGGUCUGAGAGGAUGAUCCGCCACACUGGGACUGAGACACGGCCCAGACUCCUACGGGAGGCAGCAGUGGGGAAUUUUGGACAAUGGGCGCAAGCCUGAUCCAGCCAUGCCGCGUGAGUGAAGAAGGCCUUCGGGUUGUAAAGCUCUUUCGGCUGGGAAGAAAUCGCACCCUCUAAUACAGGGUGUGGAUGACGGUACCAGCAUAAGAAGCACCGGCUAACUACGUG